rnacentral:lncRNA from 1 species
GCACAACAAAAGAGUCGACUUUGAUUUGGGUUUAACUGCUCUAGCGCCCGGGUGAGCCACUGUACAAAAUCCUCGCUUUGAUACAUCAUAAUGUUCUGAAGUGAUAAUGUUUUCCAUACCUCUCUUGUAACAGCACAGUCACGGAAUAAGUGAUUCAUUGUUUCAGCUCCUUCUCCACAUCGGGGGCACCUUGUGUUGACUGUUAAUUUCCGGUGUUGUAGAUUUACCUUUGUAGGCAGAUAGUUCCAUAAUAGCCGCCAUAUUGUGAUCUUUAUUUUUGUUGGUAUAUUCAGGCUCCAAAGUGUUUUGUAAAAUUUUCUGUAGAUGAUUUGUAAAGCAUAAGCUCUAGGAUUAUCAGUCGAUCUCUGUAAUAGUUGAUAGGCACUUCGUACCGUAAAUUCACCCGA